rfam:Schistosoma mansoni strain Puerto Rico chromosome 1, complete genome
AUCCAGCUGACGAGUCCCGAAUAGGACGAAACGCGCGUCCAGGAU